GUGUUGGCUGCCGCAGUGAAGAUGGCCCCAGGGGCAGAAAUGGCCAGUCCCACCCCCAGACAGAACCUUGGGUGGGGGUUCAAGUGGUAGCCCUCUGGGUAGGGGGUUCCACGACCUGGGGCCUCAGUUUUGCCAGAGCAUGGGCAUUGGGGAAACCCAAUGCCCUCAUCAGCUGGAGGCUUAAAAGCAGCUUGGGGGAAGAGCCGAGUGUUGGGAGAAGAGUGGGGGCAGAGACUCGGCAACUCAUCUCAGACGUGUCAGACCUGUGGUUUGUGUUACCCAAAUAGGUUCUGUCUCCGUCACCCUCUCCAUGGGGACAGGCUGUGAGGUCCAUGGCAGCCUGCAGGAUUUAUUCAGAUGGCUCUGACUUUCUACUGUUUCCCUUCCCUGUUUCCCCUCCAUGCCCCCUGCCAGUUCCAUGGUUCCAGCUGCUGUCUUCCAGUGAGGCUCCCUGCUGCCUGUCCCUCUCCUUUCCAGGCCCUUCUGCGUGCAGCGGCCAUCUUGUUUUUCUUGCUCAGAAAUUUAAAAUGGUUUCUCGGCAUUCCCAGGGUGAAAUUCCUUCCCUUUCACAUGAUGCUCUGGGCUGUCUGUAACUGGCCUUAGCUGUCCUAUGCAGUCUCACUGCUCUCAAUUUCCCAAGGAGGACUACGAAUCCCAUAAAGCCAGGUGACUCACGUUUUCUUGCUUUUCCCCUCUCCCUGUUUUCACUAGUUAUUUUCCAGCUUCCUCUCACCACAUCCACCUGUGGCAGCUCCACUGUCUCCGAAGAGCUGUCCUGAUCACCCUCUCAAGAAGUGGCCCUUAUAACCACCCCUGCCACUUCGGCAAAAUCCCCUUGCGCCUAGCUCCUCUUUAUGGUACCUUUGUUGCACUCUGGUUCCUUAUGAGAAGUCUUAGGUCACCUAUUAGGAUAUGAGCUCUCAGAGGGAGGCUGGGAAAAAUAGGAAGAAAACAGAUAUCUACCUGGCACCCACUUUUGCCAGAUUGAACACGUUAGGUUCUUUUCGGGCAAUUAUGUCAUUUAUUUUUUACCAUAACCCUGCAAGGAGAGGAGAGCCCAUGGCUGGCAAGUGGUGUGGUCGUGGUCAGACGAGCCCUCAACUUCAUUUUUUUUCCUCUCUGAAUUCCUGAGAUCCCUUUUAGGAGGUGAAUCCCACAAAGGUGGCUAUUUAAGGCAUGCCGUAGGUCUCUAAGGCUGUGUGGGAGUUUGGGUGGCUGAUCUUCUUGUGCUCAUGAUCCGGGUCACUUAGCUGUGCCAUGCCUUCCUUAUUAACUUCCUCCUUUUCCUUUGUGGCCAGGUUCACUCAAUAUGAUGGUUUUUCUGUAGCCGAAAUUGAUGGUUUGACAAGCCAGUCCUGACUGCCUUCCUCCUGGAAGAGGAGGCAGAGGCUGGGUGGGUGAUAGCAUCUUCAGUGAAGGAUGGGGCCCCAGGCAGUCAAGGCAGGAGCAAAACCAUUGGGCUGGACACACUUAGGUUUGCAUCUCCAUCCUGGCUUCUCAGCUGGGUGAUUUUAGACGAGUCAUUUAAUUAUUUUUUUCAAGUUGUAGUGUUCUCAGUCUGUAAGGCAUAGCUAUGACAGCGUGUUAUAGAGAAAUACCUAGCACGGUGCCAGGCUCCUAGCAAUAAACAUGUCGCUCCUCGACCCCGUCCCAUCCAGUGGUUUUAUCAGGGACUUAAAACAUGCACAUAGCAGGUGACUGGAGAAGGAGGGAGUUUGUGUCCCUCUGUGAUGUCAUAAGCAGGGGCAGAGAGGAGGUUACCUGGCAGUACAAACCUAAGCCUUCAAGGUGAGGAAAUGCCCCUAGAGGAAAUGCCCCUUGGCUUUUGUAGCAAGAGCGUGCAGCGGGCACCGAGCAGUGAGGACUGGUGAUGGCAGAGUGAGGGUUAAGUAAUGAGCCUUCCUGGGAGCCUUUUGAUGCCAGGUUCGUUUCCCUUCUUUCCGAAUCUCAGCAGUGGCUGCCUGCUUCCUGACGCUGUUGAGUCCCGUGGGAGGGGAGCUGGGCACCCUGAUGCCCCUCGUCACCAGUUCCGGGGCUGCAGAGCAGAGAGUGACGACAGCCAGUGAUUCGUCUGUCGACGGCAAUGGGGCCCUGGUGACGGCUGCUUUGUUGUUUUUUUCCUCUCUGGAAGAUGACUCAGUGUAUCAGGAGCCGGGAGAUGGAGCUCUCAGCUGAGUGGCCAGAAUGUUCUGUCAACAUGAAAGCAGCAGAAACAGCUCAUUGGGGCUCGGAGCCGAUCCCUAGCCUGGGGUCAUUUUCAGGGAGGGCUGAUGAGAGAAGAAGGCCACUGCCAGGCAUGAGGAUGGGGGCGAUACCAGAGAAUUCAGGAGAGUGCAGCUUGGCUUGUGAGCUGGUGACAACCUCUUGGUGACUGGCUCAGCUGAGGAUGGUGCUGGUGUUCCCAGGACAGCAUCAUACUGCUGGGUGGCUCGCUUGCAUUUUAUUUGGAGCACACGUACACACACAUGAAGCCUGGCAGUCCUGCUCUCUGUGAUGCUGUCGAGCCACAAGUGUGACCAAUGUGACAUGAUCCCAGUCUUGUCAGGGAGUCACCACCAGACUGCUCUUGGAAACCAGAAACAGCAAGGAAAACAGGAUCUAACCCCAUGCCAGCCUUCCAGGUAAGUCAGGUUGACUGCUCCCGGGCCUUCCCCUGACCUCCUUCCCUUCCCAUGAAGACCAUUUUCCCUAUUCAGUGGGGGGGAUCCUCAGAUGUCUCCAUUCAGACUCUCUUAAACAAUUGCUCUCUUCUAUUUUCCUCCGCCUGCCUUUUCUGUGAAUGAGGUUAGUAACCAGCAAGGGGCUGGGGGAAGGGCAGCCAGCUGAAGUGACCCGGGUGCUAGAUCUGUGGGAGGUAGCUGGGUAGCAUUUCUGGGUGUGGUGGUGGCAGAGCAGUCAGGGCUUCCAUAGUAAGUGGACAGAAACCACUCUUGGCCCUCUGACGUCCCAUGUGAGAGUUGGGGUUUGAUCCCUCAUUGGCUCUAGAACUACAGGGACCUUGGACUUGCUUUCCCCUGUCAUCUGAGUGGGUGACCUUAGCCUUGACGGGCUUAGUCCAGGGCUGGUCUGGAGUGUAGACCAGCCUGAGCAGUGGGCUUCAGGGCUCUUCCCUUACUUUUGGGGUUCCCUUUGAAUGGAUCACUUUUUUCUUCUAGGCCUUUUCUCUGCCUCGCUGUUGCUGGCCACAGCACUAGCAAUAGUGAUGGAAAGUGAUGACCGCCUGCAGAACAGGAGGGCGGUCACAUACAGAGAGUGCCAAGAGCCGACUGUAGGUGCUUUCCCUGUCACCAGGAAGGGUUUACUGUAGGGUUCUUGUCCAGCUAGAGCUAUCUAAGAGCAGGUUUGUCUGGGGUCUAAAGAUAAAAGGAAUGGUGCUGCGUAAUUUUAUGAGGCACCCAUGGGCUCCCAUCCCUGUCACCUCUCUCUGCUUGGUCUUAAGAGUGUGAGUGCCUCCCUCUCUCUGCACCACUCCCACCACCUUCCAGGGAAGGCUGGUGAAGGCUGGUGAAUCCUCACAGUGCUUCAUCUUCUGUCCUCCCCCUUGAGACAAAUCUCUGAGUUAACUGUGAGCAGCCUGAGACCUUCCCCAAGCGAGGGCUCUCAGUCUCUUCCUUCAAAGAAUUUGACAAGUUCAGCAGCGUUGUGAGAUGACUGGGUGUGUUGGGGCUGGAGCACAAGUGAAGAGGCUCUGUGCAGCCAGGGAGGAGAGGCGGGUGAGCUAGUCCCUCAAGAUGUGUAGUUUAGAGUCUGACUAGCGUUGGCUGUAAGACUGGGGCCAGACAUACCUGCUCGCUGUGCUUGGGAGACUCUGCUUGCACAUGCGCAGCGUGUCCCCAGGCCUGGCUCUGGGUGACCUCUGCCCCCUCACAGCCCUGCCCUUGCUUGACUGGGAAAACCAGGGUUGGUUUUGCUCCGGUUGUUGUCUUGGUGAAUUGGGGUCGGUGCUUCCCAGCUCAUUUUCCUAUUUCGAUCUCUCAUCUAAUGCUUGGCUUCCUGUUUACCAGCCUGGCUGCCUUCUGCUCCCAUGAUGGAGGGCGUUGUGUGUUGCCAGUCACACAAGCAGGACAAGUGGCACCCCUUGAGAGAGAGGCACUUUUUCUUGACCUUUGAGUCCCUGAGGUCUGAGAGCUAGGAGGCAGGGGCCCUUGCAUCCGGGAUCCAGCAGAGGUUAACAGAGCACUGGAGCGGAGGUGGCGUGGCUUGGCUGGGAGUUGUGCGGGCGGGACCCUGCCAAGGCCCCUGAUUGGUCAGCACCUUCUCUAUUCCAUUGACUCCUAGUCCUGUCAGGGCUGUGAAUUGUUUAAUGCAUAUGUUGGCUCUGUCCCCUGGCUUGAGUGCCCCUGAAGCUGCAGCCACAGCUUUAGAGAGGAACUGUACCUUGUAUUGGUCACUUUUUUUGGAUGUGUGGCUUCCCUCUGAGAUAUGUAAGAGAUACCACCCUUUUCCACCAGCCGGCUGUCUGUGGGAGGCACUCGUUUUGCUUUGCUUUUCUGGGACUUGCAGUGGCUGUGAGGAAAGUAUAGACUGGGUUUGGCUCCCUGCUGGCUCCUUCCACCGGAGCUGUUCAUGGGCUGAUCGAGCCAGAGAACACCCCCAGGGCCUCAUGGUCUCUGCAGAGCCUGGUGCUGCAGUGUGAAGCUUGUGUAGGGUGGGUGGAGUGCCAGCGCAGGGAUGGAGACAGCCUCAUGGCGCAGUGGCUAUACACGGUUGUAUCACAAGAGCAGGACCAGAAAGAUGUGGGAGGACAAGUCCAGUGCUCAUCCAGAGAUGCCUGCCAUGGCCCAGGACAGAUGUGUGUUCCCUAUGAAGGGUUCCCAUCUUGAACACCUGGCGCCAUGGAUGGUGUGGUACCAGGUUGGGUCCGUCACGAGGCAUGAAGGUAUGAGAUGCAUCCGAGUUCUCAGUUCCUGCCUACCAUCCAGGGAAAGGAAUCUGACCUUUGUUAAGGGCCAUUUGCUUAUCUGAUUUCAUCUUCAGAACAACCAUGUGACGUAGGCAUUAUUUCCCUUUUACAGUUAAAGGAACUGUGAUUAAGUGACUUAACCAAGCUCACACAUUUGGUGAGUGGGGUUGUUUUUAAAUCCAGCACUUCUGAUUCCAAAACCUAUAAUUUCUCCUCACCCUGGUUUUCCAGAGUCAAAUAUUUCUGUGAGCUAAGACCCUCAGAGAAUUAAUAUGAACCAGAGUGAAAGGCAGUCACCCAAGGACCCUCCCCAGGGGUGGCUCUGUAUGUUCCCUUUUGGAGAGGCCAGGAAGACGCAGACAGCCUUUGGUACCCAGGGACCAGCAGGACUGAGCAAGGCAAAUACGUUCCUUACCAAAUGUGUAUGGAGCUUCUCCUAGAUGCUGGGGCUGUGCUAGGUGCUGGGUUGCAGAGUCAACAAACCAAGUUUUUAUUCUUGGGGAACAUGGAUUCUAGUGGGGAGAGAGAUCAUUAGUUAAAAAAUUUAAAAAUAUAUAUAGUUUACAAAAAUGUAUGCACAAUAUAGAGAUUGUGUGAGGGUGAAGGAACAGGGUAGCACACGCAAUCAGGGGGUCCAGAUGAUAGGAGGGGAUGGAAAGACGGAAGGACCUCAGCUUCCUGGGAAGCCAUGCCGGUUGAACUUUCCUCCAGAGGUUGAGAUUGAUAGAGACACUAAUCCCUUUUCUUCCCAAUAGAAGCAUCCUCCCAAGGCCCCCAUAGCUUACAGGAACAUGUAAUGAAUUAGGAGUCCAGGUGGGAGUAGACGUCACCAGUGAAUGAGGUUUUUCCAUUUGCCACGGCCAUCCCUGGCUUUCUGUCUCCCAUCCUCUCCUGUGCCAGCUGGCUUCUGUGUCUAAGCCUGGUCAUCGUGCCUCUCUUGUCCAUGCAGCACAGGGAACAUUUGGGUCAGGUCUUUGCCGAGUCACUGGUCAAAUAUGUGCCUGCAGGAGGCACAGCCCCUCUGCCAGGACGCGUGGUUCCUGGAGCUGAUGAUCGUGACCAGCAAGGGACAGGCGCCGGCAGAGGAGAAGUCGCCUUGUGUUAGAUUGCCUGGGUUUGCUUUGUGUCUUGAGAGGCUGAGUAGGUUGGAGGGCAUGUGUGCAGGGCAUGCAGCUCCUGGGCUCAGGCCUUGGUCACUUGGGGGAAGCAGCUGCUGGGCCCACUGUGAGUCAAACUCUGGGCUUCCUCUCCUUGGCCCUUGGUGCCUGACCAACCCAGACCAAGGAAGCUGCCAUCCGUUGCCAGGGAUCUGAAGUUGCCAGGGGUCUGAAGUUGCCAGGGAUGAGGUAGAGUGAUGGGGAGCUUGGGAAAGAGGCAGGUCAGGGGAAAUGGUGUUUACACUGCUUGGUGCAGAGGAGUUAGCAGACCUGCAUUCUCGUCCUGGCUUUGUUGAUAGAACUCAUUCACUUUAGCCAAUGGCGGGGGUGAGGGGGGAGCCCUCAGAUUCCUUACGUGAGGGUGUUAAAGCAGAGAUUCCAACUCUUUUACCACGGGUCCUUUCCUGGAUGCUCAUAGAGGUGUUGCUUAGUCAGAAACUCGGGAUCAGGAAAUGGAGACCUGAGUCACCAUGAAAGAAAGAAGGGGGAAGAGGGAUCUUGAAGACCUGAUAGCAGUCAGAAUCCCCAUUGCAAAGAGGCGCUGCUGGCAUGAAUUAGCGUGGGUGGGUAGAGAUCGGGUUUGAAGGACUUUCCAGAAGGAGGAGGGAAGGGCUAGAGAUGGAGUCAAGGUGAUUGAUGCAGUCCCAUCCAUGUCCCCCCCCUCCCCCGUGACAGAGGAUAGACAGGACUGCUGCUGAGAGGCUUGCGGGAGAAGAGGGACAAGGGGGACGUGGGAGCUGCUGGUGGGGCUUGCUGUGCUGAGCAGGGCUGGCUUAAGAGACCAUUCUACAGGGGAGAUGCUGGGUCCUGUUUGUCCCUAAGUCCUAGGUGGUGUGGGGCUGUGCACUCCAGGAGGGUAUCUGUUCCAGGCUCCUCCCCCUGUGUCAAGAGGUUUUCCUUGGUAUUUAGCUUUCUUUUUUUCAUGUGGUUGUUUAAGGCCCUCAAUUAAAAACUAAAUUUAAAAAAAAAAGAGACAAAGAUGAAGAAAAGGUAAUAACAAAACUAAGAAAUGAAGAUCUCAGAACUGCCAGUUCCUUUUUGGUUUUUAAAUCUUGAAUCAUUCUUAAAAAGAGCUAAAAUAAAACACAUGAAGGCAGGCCCAGGGCCCCAGGCACAGCGAACAGCAGCCGGGAGUGGUUGGGACUCUGGCUUAGCUGCUGCAUGGCAGCCUCAGUCCCAGACAGACAUCAACCACGUCUCCAAGGCGCUGUGGGUAAGAACCCCUGGAGCUGAGGGGCACGUUGUGCAAUCUACUGAACAGGAUGCAGAAUUAUAAAAAUAGCUACAUUUCUCCAAGACACUGUCUGCUUUCCACUUCACCAGGCAUUUACCUGGGAUUAACAAUUACUGUGAGCUUGUCCCUCCCUCCCUUAGUAUGGUAUAGUGACAGGGAUUUGGGCUAGGACACAGGCGGGAGGGGAAGGAAAUGAUUAGUAACCAUCAUAUCACUCGUACAUGGUUCUUUUCAAAUUUGCUGGCUCACUUGGUCCUCAUGCAACCCUGUGCGGGUAGGUGGCACUAGCCUGUCAUUGAUGAAACUGAGCCAGGCAGAGGCCUGCCAAGACCUGACUGCUUGUACCUGCUUACUUGGAGUCUCCCACCCACCUCCUCUGACUCUAGCUGUCAUUUCCCUGGGAUCUGACCAGGGAAAUGGGUUGGGGAUAGGAGUAGAGGAGUGGACAGUGUACUUUGAUCCCUUAGGUCCUUUGCUUCUCUAUAUGUGUGAGAGUAAAAGGAAAUCUCAGACUGUUCAUAUUCUCCUAUUCUCUGAUUUUUUUUUAACUUCUUGGAGCUCUUGGGAGAGCUGGCUUGUACUUCUUAGCUGGGAAGUCAGCCAAUUAUCAUGUGUGCCUGGAGAGGUUUUCUACAUGUGGAAGCUUCUGGAAUACGUGGUGCUUGAAACCAUUCUGAUACCUUUGUAGAGCAUUUCAUGCAUGUGCAUACAGACCUGUUUCUGCUGCUGUCGCUCACUUAGAGAUGAGGCCUUGCUGUGGAAUAUUUGUAAUUUUUUUCCAACAGAUUUGUAAGGGAUGCCCAGAGCUUUGCCUAGCAUGCAUGUUGUGUGUAUGUUACCUGUUUGUACAGCACCUGCUGGAAGCACUGGCUAAAUAUACAACGUAAAGUCAGACACUAGACACACUGGCUCCAACUCUGAAUGUGUCUUGAUUGACUUGAGAAAGUAUGUCUUACCCAUGCAGAAGAGGGUAGGCUAGAGAAGUCCUGGGAUUGGGUUUCCUUGAGUUCUGAGCCUAGCCCCCAAUUCUGUCCAGGGUUGCUGAGGCAGAGUAAUUGGACUGUAAUGACUUCUUGGCCAUUUAGAACUCUGAGUGACCUUCAUUGGAAUAGACCCAGAACUUAUAUGAAGGAGUGAAGAAGAGUUUAUCCUUAUUUGCAAUGAAUUUCAUCAGAAUGGUUUAGUUUUUUUCUGGUAAUGCUCCCUUAGAAUGAUUGAGGUUGGACGGGGCUGCGUGCAUAUGUCUGGUAACAGCUGUCCAGAAAGCACAGGGGAGCUGUUUUGGUGGUAGAAGUCUUCAGUAGCCUUGUGUGUGAAGAUUUGUUGUGUUGGACCUGGUUCUUUCUGUUCACCUGGAAGACAGAAAAAAGGACCAUCCAAACCUGCCGCAGGGAAGGUGGUGGGGAGAGCCGUGCCUCACCUUGCCCAGGGUUCCCAAGGGAAGAUGAAACCUGUCUGAGGUGGGGAGACUGGAUGUCUUUGACAGGUCAAAUCCAUCCCUGAAGCAACCUGAAGAAGGUUCAGGUACUAGGAUCCAGAGCUGGGUCCUUGGCCCCACUCUCCAUCUUUCCCCUUCUGUUUCCAGGCAGCCCUAAGCCAGGGCGGGGAUGCGGGGGCUUGGAGGGUGGAGGAGACGGCGUGGGAAUGGAACCUGGAACUCCAGAUCCCUUCCAGGAAAGAGCCCUGAGCGGCCCUAAUUCUGUAUUUGUCAUCACUGCCCUUCGUCACUGCCCACCCCUGCAGAUGGCUCCUAGCCCUUGGAUAGGCAUUGUAGGGGUUGGGGGGAGCGGGGCCAGACAGGGUUUACUAGCAUGAAGGUAGAAGAAGAUGGAAGAGGAGUACCUUAGAGCUGGCCAUAGUGCAGGAGCCACAGGCAUUGCCUUUGAUGCUACCGACUUGCAUACUAGUUAGCCGUAACCCAAAGUCUGAAAUCAGGUGAUGCCUCAAUGAGAGUUGUAUUUAAAUAUGGAAAAUUAUAUAUCCUUUUGUGUUAUUGCCAGGUACAGUUUUAGCAUCAAAAGGCCUGACAGGAGUUAGGUGUUGUGGUGCACACUUAUAAUUCCAGCAAUUUGAGAGGCUGAGGCAGGAGGAUUGCAAAUUUGAGGCCAGUCUCAGUAACUUAGAGACCCUUCUCAAAUUAAAAUAAUAAUUAAAAAAAAAAAAAGAGGCCUGGGACUGGGCUGUGGCUCAGUGGUAGAGCGCUGCUUAGCACGUGCGAGGCCCUGGGUUCCAUCCUCAGCACCACGUAAAAAGAAAUAAAAAUGAAGAUUUUUUUUUUUUUUUUUAAAGAGGCCUAAUGGACUGGGGAAAGUUGGGCGGGGGGGUGUCCUGUCUGUCUUUAAAAUAAUGCUUGUUUCAUAUUGACUGUUUGCUUUCUGUCUUAUUCCACACUCUGUUUUAUUUCUUAGGCAUUUGUGAAUACAGUCGUCCCUAAGUGUCUGUGGGGGAUUGGAUACCAAAACCUGCACAUACUCAGAUCUCUUCUGUAAAAUGGCAUCGUGUUUGCAUUUAACCUAUGCACAUUGUCUCUAGAUUACUUACAAUGCCUAAUACAUUGUCAGUGCUGUGUAAAUGGUUGUUGUGUUGUUUUAGGGAAUAAUGACAAGGGAAAAGCUUGUAUGUGUAUGGUAAAAAUGCAGUUUUAUGUAUACAUAUAUGUAUUACACACACACAUACACACACACUUUUUUCGAUCUGUGGUUGGAAUCUAGGGAUGUAGAACCUCGGAUAUAGAGAGCCAUCUGUGUUUGUCUAUGCAGUUAUGUUACUUCUUUGGGGCAGUUUUCCAGUGUCUUGGUAUCAGUGAAUGUGUGACUUUGAUUUCACAUGUAAAUAAACUACAAACUCAUGGCAAAAAAAAAACAAAACUCAGGGUUGGGGCAAGGGCAGCUGCCUAUAGAUGCCCUUCCCAAAGUCCUGGUCUGAGUCACCCAGAUGCCUGAGGAAAUGAGAUGCAGGUGUCCUUGCUAGGGCCAGCUGGCCCCACAGCCCAACAUACUCCCCCAAACCUUAUUAGCUGUUAUUUUUUUCAGCUUGAACCCUGAGUAGCAGCCUUGGAAGUCUCAGACCACAUGUCACCCUGCAAGCCUCCAAAGAAUUUAAUCUGCUGGACAACAAACAAUACUGUUAUAAAACUUUGAAAACAAGAGGGCGAGGCCUCCCUGACAAGGAGAAGGGCAUGUCGGGUAACGGCCUGAGGGAGUGUGCCAGGCCCGAGAUGGAGCCGGGCGAGAGCCCAGUUGGCUGGGUACCUGGGCGCCUGCCCCUACUCAGCCCACUCACUCUGCCACCCCGAGUCCAGGGGGGAAGGAACCAAAAUGCAAAGGGGGCCAAGAUGCACUUGAAAAGGGGAAAUUGUAUGUGUUCCCCUCUCUGUGAUCUGAUGGGAAUGCACUAGACUGUGAAACUUCCUCUUCCACCUCCCCUCCCUCCUCCCUCCCUCUUUCCCUCCCUCCUCUCCACUCUUCUCUCCUCCUCCUACUCCUGCCUCCUGCUACUCACUGUUCUUGAGACUGGCAGACAGAGGUCCUGAUAACAGAAUGAGGCUGGAAUAGCAAUGUAGGUACAGCCACAGCUGAGCCAGCUGAAGGGGAAGAGGAGAGAGCACAGACUUGCAGAUGGCUUUGGAGUUGGACUUACCUCCGUUCCGGCUCAGCCUCCCUCCCCCAGCUAGGGAAGUGGAACCACCUCACGUCACAGGGUGUGCCCGGACCAUGUGCUCUGCCAGGUGUGUGCCCAGGUACUGGGUAGAACUGCCAUUCAGUGGUUAGUGGAUGCGCCCUGGCUUCCUGGUGCCCACUUCAGGAUGUGCUCCUGGGAGGGCGUCUGACUUGGUGAAGUGCUCAGUACUCUGAGAUGCUCUGUCCUCCCAGGGAGGAGCAUAGACCACUGGAGGAGCUCCUGGGACCCAGUGAGCAGACAUGAGGUCCUGUAAGCGUGGCACCUGGUAGGACACUGUGUCUGUUACUUCUUGGCAGCUGAAGGAGGGGUGACCAGGUCUUCCUGCCGGGGGUUGGGAAGCUGGGCUCUGGGGCAUCUCUGCACUAACCUCCAAAGUCAGAUCUCCCCCGAGGCUGAAGUUACACUUCCGAGUCUGUCCUAACAGAGCCAAGUAGAUGACAAGGGAGUGGCGUUCGUGGUUUUUCUUUGGACCACAUUGGUUUGGGCCGGUGAACUGUGUGGUGGGCAUUGUGUGUGUGUGAUAGACCAUAGGCGUGCUCACUUUUCCUCUCAUGGAGUGCAAUAGCUUCCUUGAAAGUAGUUCAGGGCUGUGCCCAUCCUCCCAUCUGCCAGGGGAACCCGGAACUCCGUGCUCCAGCCUUCACUCCAUCCUUCCUCCUCCCCUAUCUCCCCACUGUCUCCAGCUGCCCCCAUUUCCCGUGUUACCCCAGAGGCAGGACAAAUAGGGAGCAUCCUCUCCAUCCAGCCAUCCCGACCCAGGCCCUCCCUGCCCUGUACAGAGUCUGGGAGCUUUUGAGACCCAGGUUUUGGUCAGUAAUUUGGAGGAAAGGAUAGAAAAACUGACUUUCAAGGAGUUCAAUUGCCUAGGAACAUGGGCUUCUGUACCUGUGACCCAGGGGAAGCCCAAAGAGCUGAUACUGGGUCCACUGGGGCUUUGGAAGGCUGUGACUUCUCUCCCUGUUACCUGAGUCGGCACUUGAGGGGGCCCACCACCUCUAAAGGAUGCUGUUCCCACUUUAGGAUUUAGGGCCUAGGACAUAAGGUGGUGCCUGAAUGCUGACCGCUUCUUCUGGGGGCUUCAGGCCAGCCAGCCAUGUUCCUCCACCCAUGGUCCCUCAACACACAUAUCCUUCAUUUUAUCACCCUUUCCUCUGAUUCAUUAACCGCAGCUAGUUGGCAGCAGGCCCUUCUCUGACAGCUAAAGACAAAAUGUCCAGGACACUGGGUCUGGGUUGGAGUUGAGACUGACAGGAAGCUGGGCAGCCCUUUCAGUCCACACAACAAUGGUCUGGGACUGUCUUGAGGGCAGGACGUUCCCCUUUUUUCAAAAAGGCCUUCUAGGCCCCCUUUCACCAAGUGAGUUCUUCCUCAUUGCCUGGAACCCUGAAACCAGCAUUCCCAGAGGCUAGAAGAUGGACGCUUGGGGCUCAGCUUCCGGCAUCCUCCCCCACUCUGGCUGGAACUUGCAUCAGUCACGUAAGUAGCUGUGACUCAGCAUCCAGCGCUGGGUCAGGAGGGAGAAGCUGCUGCCUUGGCAGGAACCUUCCCACGUUCUGCAUUUGAACACAUUGUGGUAGCACAGCGCGGGUACCGGGUUCAGCCGGUUCGUGUGUAUAUAUUUUACAAACAGGUUCCCUCUCCUUCCCAUUUUCCCCCCAUGUUAUUUUUUGGGCACCAUGCUGGGCUCAAAAUAAGAUAUUUAGGACUUUAAAACUCAGCAUCAUUUAUAGAAUGAAAUAGAAGCUGUCUUUGUGAUCUUUUGACUGUUCUUAGCCAGUGGCCCAUGAAGUGUGUUUAACCCUCAGCUCUGUUUAGUUUGGCCUGCACUUUUUUUUUUUAAUGUAUCUGAUUUUGUAUGCCUCUAGACAGAACGUGGCCUCUCCAGGCCACUAUCUCUGCUGCACGUUGUUGCUGCCUCUGUCUUUCUGUGUCCUGCCCAAGCCCUCUGAGCAUUUGCAUGUAUGGUGAUCAGUCUUCCCAGGCUGCCUCUGGACAGAUGGAGACACUGAGGCCCAUUCAGGGCAAGUGGCCGGUUCUUGUUCUCAGAUUUUAUGCCUGGCAGGCGUUCUCCUUCCCUGGGUGCUGACCUUUCCUCCGCCCUCGGGUCCCUUACCAGGCAGAAGAAUGUUCUGGAAGGUAGAAAAGCCUCUAGAUAGAAUGUGAGCGUGACAACAGACUGGGGCUGGAGUGGGGCUCCCUAGACCUUUAACCUGUCAGUGUCACAUCAGGGCUAUAUACCUACUCCUGGUGGGUGAGUAAUUUUCCUUCCUAGAUAAUCUCACUAAGACCUUCGACAAGGCCAAUUUGCUUUGGCCUAUUAGGCCGAAGCAAGAGAAUCCCAUGUCUCUCAUUGGAUGGCAGAGCCCCUAGGAAGAUGGUGAUUUCAUCGGCUGCCUUCUUCUAGAUCUAGGUGGCCCUCAGGCUCACUGCCAGGAAGAUCGAGCCCCUGCCAGCCCUUAUCAAAUCACCCAGCUACUCCCAGCUAGCACAGAACCACCAGCUUGUUUCAGAGAAGAAUCAUUGCUCAGCUGACUUUUAGAAGAAAGAACUCUGCUUCCAUUGAGAGGUCUGUGACCUGAAUGACCCUUUCACCUCCUGGGAUUGAAAAGGCAAAAGGUUUGGGUACUAAGAUUACUUUUUUUCUCCUCUUAUUUGAGAUUGUUUAAAGCAAUGCCUUGUUAAUGGGUUCUUAUCUCUUCUUCCUGAGAACUAAGAGUUUUAGAAUCCACGAGUGGGGACUGUAGGUCUUGGCUUCUGUCUUCUGGUUCCCUCGGUGGUAUUUGCUUCCUUGCAAUUGCUAGGUAUCCAGUUCCUGGGUAGCAGGAGAGACAUUACUUCAGUGUAACCCUGACAACCAAACGAGAAGGGCACAUUCUGAAGGAGAGAAUGACUUGGUCCUCUAGCAAGCGAGCCAGACUUGGGGGAGGUUUGGGGAGGCUUUCCUGAGCUGAGAUGGGGAGGGUGCCUGGGGGGUGGUAGCUAAGGGAGAGUGGAUGGAUGGAUUCCAGGAGGAGGGGGCAGCAGAGUCAGGGCCUGUGGCAGGAGGAAAGGUGCUUUAAGGAUCACUGCAGGACACCUGUGCAAGGGCAGUUAGGAGGGGGUUUGUCAGUUCUCCUAACUGAAAGUGCUACGGAGGAGUUUCACUGAAAUGAAAAGCAGCUAAGCCGAGAAUUAGCCUAUGUGAAUCUCAACCAUCCCUCUCAUUUUAUAGGAUUUGGAUCUUUGGUAAUAAAUGUCAUGACAUUCUUGACCUUAAAACCCUCACUGUCACUGUCCACUCGAACCCAGUGUUGGUUGCAAAUGUCAACCCCAGAUCUGCCCCUCAGUUCCCCCACGUGCAGAUGAGGCCCUGGGGCAUCCCAUGAUGGACGGCAGAGCCUGCUGUUGGUGUUAGAAUUACUGGAGUGGGUUCCUUACCAGCAAUUUCCUCACUGCUGGGGGAGUCAUGCUGAAGGAGGACCUAAGGCUCCAGAGAGAGCAGUAGCUACCCAAAUCCACCUGACCUCUUGCAGAACCAAAAUCAUGCCCCCAUCUUCACUCAAGUAUAAUGUGUUCUAUAGUCAGUAUAAUUCCCACUUCCUUGCAGAAAUAUGGCCUCCAUAUUUCCUCCCUCCCCCCAAAUUGCUCAGAGUUAAGUUCGGGAACACAGUGAGAUGAUAGUCAAGCUGUGGAGCAGGCAGCAGUGGACAGAGGGGUGGGAACACGGACUUGGGAGGUAGCUCUGGAUCUGUGUUUAUGGAUCAUGUGACUUCAGACAACUUAUUUAUCCUCAUUAAGGAUCAAUUUAUUUGCCUGCAAAAAUUGGAGCAAUACCUGUGUCAUUGACUGUUGUGAGAAUUAAACUCUUGAUAUUCAAAUUUUAUUUCCUUAUUUUUGUUGUAGCAACAUAUAACCUUAUUGCCAGGGGCCAUGAAAAAAGAUAAGUUUAUGUCUUGAGGCCUAAAGAAUUGGUUGGGAACCCAAAACAUGGCUUUGGCUGUCUCUUCUCUCUCUGGGUUAUGGCAUCAGAGGAAACACACCUAUUUUCUUCACUUCAAAUAGCCAUAAAAAAAGAUGAUACGAAAGAGGAAAUCUAAUUUGGAACAUGAUUUGGAAAUUUAUUUUCAGGCGAACUUCAGAAUCAAAGCUCAGUUUCAAUUAUGUGAAUUCAGUACAAUGGUAGUCAUGUGAGAGGUUAAAUCCAGUAAGUCAGUUAAAGGUGUCAGAUUUGAAUGUCUUGAUACUGAUAUGCAGUGUGGUAAGAAGGAGCCCUUGCUCUUUAGGAAACAUCGCUCUGGACAGGUGAAACUCACCUUUGUAUACCCGCCGCCGGUGCCUCAGAAGCACAUAGGCUGCUUGUGUCCUGAUGGAGGGAGAUAAUGUAUCUAGAGACACUUUGUGUGCUGGGAAAUAUAUAAAGGCUAAGGUGGUAUGAAUGUAAAAUUAAUAUAUUUUAAAAUUAAAUACUUUGGAUUUGGCUGUUUUAUUUCAUCAUGUGUGAUAGUUUAUAGUGACUGGUUGUGAAAUGAAACAGAGUUAAUGAGUUUCGUAUUGCUCUUAUCUGUUAGAUUUCCUACCUCUCCUCAGUGUCUUUCUAAUGGAUCAUUCAUUCUGUCAUGUCACAGUAGAAGACAUUUCUCCUCAGGGUGGAGGCCUGUCUUCCCAUCGCAUCUCCCUGCCUUCUUCGGUGAGAUCCUCUUCUUCUGGAAGCUGGUUUCACAUGGUGGCUUAGAUUUUUCCAUCUUUGUAUCUAGCACCAUUUGAAAUCAGUGUUUUAGGAGUAAGAAUUGCAGCUCUGCAAAGGAUGGACUGGAGAGGAGCUGCUGCUCAAGGGACUGACUCUUUUCGCUGCUUGAGCCUGUUAAGAAGUCAAGGGAAGAUUUGGAAAGCAAAAGUCACUCAAGAAGAUGUUGGAUGUGGGCGGGGCCACAGCAGGAGUCGGGGGCGGGGCUUGUGUUUACUGUAAAUGCAGUAGCUUGAGCAGGGCACAGCCCACCACUAGCACCUGUCUCUAGCAUCACUGAAUUGGUAGGGCCUCUGAGUGCAGUGAUUGUGCUGUUCAGAUGGGUGAUGAUGUAUUGGGUGUCGACUGUAACAGGGAAGGGCAGAGGGCUGUAUACCUGGAGGACUGUCACCUCAGCACUGCCCGCAUGCUCCUGGAGGAUGCCCUGGAGUAUUCCGCUGGAAUCAGAUUUGCCACCUGCAGAGGUGCAGACCCGAGGAGCACUACUGGCCCAUCUCUUACACAGGCUGACCGAUUUCUCCUGGUGUUCAGAGUCUGUUUUUGUCUAGCACCAUUUGAAAUCGGUUAUGAUGUAGGGGGAAAAGCAGCAACCUCACAGCCUCAUGCCAAGUCUGGUCAGCAGCAGCCUGUGGUUUCCUGGAAGAUGGAUGGGCAGAGAGUGGGGAAGGAAGAUCACACUUUCCCUGCUAACUUCUUUAGCUGCAUUCAUGAUAUGUUAUUGGAGAGGUAAGAGGUAAUUCAGUGGAUUUUUAAAAACAAAUCACUAUAAUUUAUAUGAUGUCCUCAGUUGCAUUUUCUGAAAUGUAAUAUUGCUGCGAAUUGUGUAAAUUGGUUGCCGUUGAAUUAUCUUUCUGCUAAGUAGUCUGUUCAUGCAUCCCGACUUUAAUAAAUAAUUUCAUAUAUUCAAUUUA